AUGUCCUUAAUGGUAAGAAAGUACAACUUUACAAUGAGAUUUUGAGAAAUAUCACUAGUAAUUUUGGUCAUGUUUUAGUGCUGACCCCAAAAUGUUUUAGUAGUUAACUCUGCUUUUUAAGCUACUUUAGAACAAAUCAGCUUCAAUUUCCAAGACUAAAAAAUGAUGCUGUUAUAAAACUAUGUUCAAGAACUGCAAAUCAUUUUGGCCUGGAAAUAAAUGUUUAAAGAUUUUAGGUGCUCAUUUUUAAAAGUAUCUGAGCCCUGUUUGUUAUUUUUUAAUGUAAAAUUUGAAGAUAUAAUUUGAUUAAGGGCUAUUGGAUUUUCUUUUUGAAUAAAUGACCAUCAGACUAAAAAUGAGGCAAGAACAGACAGUGAAAUAUAUAGCACUAUGUGCAGGACUUCCUUUUCUUUCUUUCUUUUCUUUACUUUUUUUCUUUUCUUUUUGAGGUGGGUGCUUAAAAUGAACAAUUAAGAAAACUGUUGGGAAAUCCAGCUUAGGUGCAUCUAUGAAAAAUAUCAGCUCCCCGGAAUAAACAGAGGCUAAAACCUUCCACAGAGAAAAUAACAAUAACAGGCCAAAAAAAAAAAAGACAUGGGAAUCAGAUUUGCGUCAGAUGCCAAUGGGGCAGUGCCUUUAAAGUGCUGAGAGAAAUUGAUUUCAAAUGAGAACUCUAUACUCAGCUAAACUGUAAACCACAAAGGGAAAGUACUGACAUUUCCACACAUGUAAGAACUCAAAAAAUUUACAUCCCAAAUACCCUUUUCUCAUCCUUACUUUUAAAGGUUGGAAUCCGGUAAUUUAAGAAAGAGGACGACAUGGGAUCCAGGAAACAGGAGAACAAUGAAGGGAUGUCUUAUGGCAUCUCUUUAGUAGGCCUAAAGAGGAACCAGUCAAGAUGGAAGAUUUGGGAGGGAAAACUCCAGGAAAAAAAGGAAUGUAACAGAAUAGAAGGUGAAAUGGAAAGAGAAGAGGUACAUAGUUAUACCGGACACUUACAUUUCAAAGUGCGAAAUUUACCUGAGCACCUGAUCCACCUCAGCCUGGUUGGAAGGAGCUAAGCCCUGAAGCUCCUCGGUGAUGGUUUCGUUGACCCACCGCACCGCAGUGCUGACGGCAUCUGACCUUUCUAAUUCCUCUGCUUCAGCUAGCUCGGGUAAAGCGUUCUCAUGGACUUCGAAGCACCGGAUAUUUUAAUGGUGAAGACUUAUGCAGAGGCUGUAUUUCACUUACCAUCAGAUCCUGUGUAGAACUACAUGUUCAGAGAGGAUUG